rnacentral:rRNA from 1 species
AGAGUUUGAUCAUGGCUCAGAAUCAACGCUGGCGGCGUGCCUAACACAUGCAAGUCGAACGCGAAAGCCCCGCAAGGGGCAAGUAGAGUGGCAAACGGGUGAGUAACACGUGGGUGACCUGCCUUCGAGCGGGGGAUAACGUCCCGAAAGGGACGCUAAUACCGCAUAACAUCCUGCCUUUGAAGAGGUGGAGAUCAAAGCUGGGGGGGAUCGCAAGACCCGGCACUUGAAGAGGGGCCCGCGUCUGAUUAGCUAGUUGGUGGGGUAACGGCCUACCAAGGCAACGAUCAGUAUCCGGCCUGAGAGGGCGGACGGACACACUGGGACUGAGACACGGCCCAGACUCCUACGGGAGGCAGCAGUGGGGAAUUGUUCGCAAUGGGCGCAAGCCUGACGACGCAACGCCGCGUGGAGGAUGAAGAUUUUCGGAUCGUAAACUCCUGUCGAAUGGGACGAAUAGGUUGCGGGUUAACAGCCUGUAAUCCUGACGGUACCGUUAAAGGAAACCCCGGCUAACUCCGUGCCAGCCGCCGCGGUAAUUC